GUCUGUAUGUAUUCUAUUUAUAGUCUAGCCUGCCCACUGAUGUUUUAAAGGGCCGCGGUAAUUUGACCGUGCGAAGGUAGCAUAAUCACUAGCUUUUUAAUUGAAGGCUYGUAUGAAUGGUUGGACGAAGAAUUAGCUGUCUUUUUAUUAUUUUGAAUUUAACUUUUAAGUGAAAAGGCUUAAAUUAAUUAGGGGGACGAUAAGACCCUAUAAAACUUUAUAUAAAUUAGAUARAAUGGUAAAAUUCAGUUUAAUYAUCUUUUAUYUGYUUUAUAUUUUGUUGGGGAGACAUUUAUAUAAUUUGUAACUGUUUUAAAAAUUUAAUAAUUAUAAUUAGUUUCUGAUCCUGUAYUACGGAUUAUAAGUGUAAGUUACUUUAGGGAUAACAGGGUAAUUUUCUCUGAGAGUCCUUAUCGACGAGUUUAGUUGCGACCUCGAUGUUGAAUUAAAAUGUUAGAUUGGUGCAGUCAUUUUUCUAGUAGGUCUGUUCGACCUUUAAAAUUUU
rnacentral:rRNA from 1 species